rnacentral:rRNA from 1 species
GGGUUGUGAGGUUAAGCGACUAAGCGUACACGGUGGAUGCCCUGGCAGUCAGAGGCGAUGAAGGACGUGCUAAUCUGCGAUAAGCGUCGGUAAGGUGAUAUGAACCGUUAUAACCGGCGAUUUCCGAAUGGGGAAACCCAGUGUGWUUCGWCACACUAUCAUUAACUGAAUCCAUAGGUUAAUGAGGCGAACCGGGGGAACUGAAACAUCUAAGUACCCCGAGGAAAAGAAAUCAACCGAGAUUCCCCCAGUAGCGGCGAGCGAACGGGGAGCAGCCCAGAGCCUGAAUCAGUGUGUGUGUUAGUGGAAGCGUCUGGAAAGGCGCGCGAUACAGGGUGACAGCCCCGUACACAAAAAUGCACAURCUGUGAGCUCGAUGAGUAGGGCGGGACACGUGGUAUCCUGUCUGAAUAUGGGGGGACCAUCCUCCAAGGCUAAAUACUCCUGACUGACCGAUAGUGAACCAGUACCGUGAGGGAAAGGCGAAAAGAACCCCGGCGAGGGGAGUGAAAAAGAACCUGAAACCGUGUACGUACAAGCAGUGGGAGCACGCUUAGGCGUGUGACUGCGUACCUUUUGUAUAAUGGGUCAGCGACUUAUAUUCUGUAGCAAGGUUAACCGAAUAGGGGAGCCGAAGGGAAACCGAGUCUUAACUGGGCGUUAAGUUGCAGGGUAUAGACCCGAAACCCGGUGAUCUAGCCAUGGGCAGGUUGAAGGUUGGGUAACACUAACUGGAGGACCGAACCGACUAAUGUUGAAAAAUUAGCGGAUGACUUGUGGCUGGGGGUGAAAGGCCAAUCAAACCGGGAGAUAGCUGGUUCUCCCCGAAAGCUAUUUAGGUAGCGCCUCGUGAAUUCAUCUCCGGGGGUAGAGCACUGUUUCGGCAAGGGGGUCAUCCCGACUUACCAACCCGAUGCAAACUGCGAAUACCGGAGAAUGUUAUCACGGGAGACACACGGCGGGUGCUAACGUCCGUCGUGAAGAGGGAAACAACCCAGACCGCCAGCUAAGGUCCCAAAGUCAUGGUUAAGUGGGAAACGAUGUGGGAAGGCCCAGACAGCCAGGAUGUUGGCUUAGAAGCAGCCAUCAUUUAAAGAAAGCGUAAUAGCUCACUGGUCGAGUCGGCCUGCGCGGAAGAUGUAACGGGGCUAAACCAUGCACCGAAGCUGCGGCAGCGACGCUKAUGCGUUGUUGGGUAGGGGAGCGUUCUGUAAGCCUGYGAAGGUGURCUGUGAGGYAUGCUGGAGGUAUCAGAAGUGCGAAUGCUGACAUAAGUAACGAUAAAGCGGGUGAAAAGCCCGCUCGCCGGAAGACCAAGGGUUCCUGUCCAACGUUAAUCGGGGCAGGGUGAGUCGACCCCUAAGGCGAGGCCGAAAGGCGUAGUCGAUGGGAAACAGGUUAAUAUUCCUGUACUUGGUGUUACUGCGAAGGGGGGACGGAGAAGGCUAUGUUGGCCGGGCGACGGUUGUCCCGGUUUAAGCGUGUAGGCUGGUUUUCCAGGCAAAUCCGGAAAAYYAAGGCUGAGGCGUGAUGACGAGGCACUACGGUGCUGAAGCAACAAAUGCCCUGCUUCCAGGAAAAGCCUCUAAGCAUCAGGUAACAUCAAAUCGUACCCCAAACCGACACAGGUGGUCAGGUAGAGAAUACCAAGGCGCUUGAGAGAACUCGGGUGAAGGAACUAGGCAAAAUGGUGCCGUAACUUCGGGAGAAGGCACGCUGAUAUGUAGGUGAAGUCCCUCGCGGAUGGAGCUGAAAUCAGUCGAAGAUACCAGCUGGCUGCAACUGUUUAUUAAAAACACAGCACUGUGCAAACACGAAAGUGGACGUAUACGGUGUGACGCCUGCCCGGUGCCGGAAGGUUAAUUGAUGGGGUYAGCGCAAGCGAAGCUCUUGAUCGAAGCCCCGGUAAACGGCGGCCGUAACUAUAACGGUCCUAAGGUAGCGAAAUUCCUUGUCGGGUAAGUUCCGACCUGCACGAAUGGCGUAAUGAUGGCCAGGCUGUCUCCACCCGAGACUCAGUGAAAUUGAACUCGCUGUGAAGAUGCAGUGUACCCGCGGCAAGACGGAAAGACCCCGUGAACCUUUACUAUAGCUUGACACUGAACAUUGAGCCUUGAUGUGUAGGAUAGGUGGGAGGCUUUGAAGUGUGGACGCCAGUCUGCAUGGAGCCGACCUUGAAAUACCACCCUUUAAUGUUUGAUGUUCUAACGUUGACCCGURAUCCGGGUUGCGGACAGUGUCUGGUGGGUAGUUUGACUGGGGCGGUCUCCUCCUAAAGAGUAACGGAGGAGCACGAAGGUUGGCUAAUCCUGGUCGGACAUCAGGAGGUUAGUGCAAUGGCAUAAGCCAGCUUGACUGCGAGCGUGACGGCGCGAGCAGGUGCGAAAGCAGGUCAUAGUGAUCCGGUGGUUCUGAAUGGAAGGGCCAUCGCUCAACGGAUAAAAGGUACUCCGGGGAUAACAGGCUGAUACCGCCCAAGAGUUCAUAUCGACGGCGGUGUUUGGCACCUCGAUGUCGGCUCAUCACAUCCUGGGGCUGAAGUAGGUCCCAAGGGUAUGGCUGUUCGCCAUUUAAAGUGGUACGCGAGCUGGGUUUAGAACGUCGUGAGACAGUUCGGUCCCUAUCUGCCGUGGGCGCUGGAGAACUGAGGGGGGCUGCUCCUAGUACGAGAGGACCGGAGUGGACGCAUCACUGGUGUUCGGGUUGUCAUGCCAAUGGCACUGCCCGGUAGCUAAAUGCGGAAGAGAUAAGUGCUGAAAGCAUCUAAGCACGAAACUUGCCCCGAGAUGAGUUCUCCCUGACYCYUURAGRGUCCUGAAGGAACGUUGAAGACGACGACGUUGAUAGGCCGGGUGUGUAAGCGCAGCGAUGCGUUGAGCUAACCGGUACUAAUGAACCGUGAGGCUUAACCUUACAACGCCGAAGGUGUUU